rnacentral:sRNA from 1 species
ACUUUUACUUUCAUUUUUAGAGUUUUUCAGUACAGACUUCACACCAUAAAAUUUUAACAGGAAAGAGGCAAUUUGAUGAGCUUUCAUUCAAGAGGUCCCUCGUUGCUGAACGAAAAAUAGGGCCGGAGCUAUGAACCGGAAUGUUUACAAUACCGCCUAUGGAAAAUGCAUCAGUGGACUAUACUCAGGCGUUUCAUGUGGAUAGGAAGCAACAAGAGUAAAAUGGUCAAACAAGAGGAAAAGGAAGUAAGGGAAUAUUUUUCAGACUGUUGCACAUCAAAUACACUCCCAUGAAUGAAAAUGUGCCCAAGACUUACAGAAUGUAACUAAAAGUGCAGAAGAAUAUUGUGGAAAAGGAUAUAUGGGAGACCAUAAAGAAAAAAUAUGGAAUGACCUUAAAAGAGUUAAAAAGUAAUAAAUUAGCUAAGAUUUGCACUUUUGAUUGAGUUAUGUCUUAGUGUACAUAUAACUUUGAUGAAAUUGUUAAUAAUAUAUGUGUGUGCUCAUAGAAAAGAACAUCACGCAUAUGCAUUGUAAUACCAGUAAAUAUUGUAUUGAAAUUGUUGAUCAUGUUAAGAUUUUCAAAGUUUAUGAUGAGUUACAGUAUGUGCAUUGUAAUUCCACACAUACAAAAAUCUUUGUCACUGUUUUAAAAAAAACCCGAAAUGUACCAGUAUGUGGAUAUGAACAUUUUUUGAAUAUUUUUGGAUGUGUAUUUUUAUGAGUCAGCCAAUAACUGUUGAAUAUUUAAACUUUCUCUGCAUUUUUGUAUGCGAGCUGAAUAUUAUGCCAGUUUUAAGGUUUAUGGAAUGGUCUGUUUGAUCUUCUUAACCAUACAUGUAAGAUGUCUGACAAUCUUUCUGCAAGAUUUGAUAAAUUUGUGUACAUGCAUAUGCAUUUGUGAAUAUUUCAUAUUUGAUGAUAAUUGUUGAAAUUGUUGAUAAUGUUGAGAUUUUCAAAGUUUAUGACAGUUAUGUAAAUUGAUUAAUUUUGAGUUUAUGGUCAUAAAUUGUUGUUUAAAGUUCC